AACGAACGCUGGCGGCAGGCCUAAAACAUGCGAGUCGAACGGGUGUAGCAAUACAUCAGUGGCGCACGGGUGAGUAACGCGUGGGAACGUGCCCUUCAGUACGGGACAACGUCGGGAAACUGACGCUAAUACCGUAUAAUAUCUCCGGAUCAAAGAUUUAUCGCUGAAGGAUCGGCCCGCGUCUGAUUAGUUUGUUGGUGAGGUAACGGCUCACCAAGACUACGAUCAGUAGCUGGUCUGAGAGGAUGAUCAGCCACACUGGGACUGAGACACGGCCCAGACUCCUACGGGAGGCAGCAGUUAGGAAUAUUGGACAAUGGGGGAAACCCUGAUCCAGCCAUGCCGCGUGUGUGAUGAAGGCCUUAGGGUUGUAAAGCACUUUCGUUGGGGAUGAUAAUGACCGUACCCAAAGAAGAAGCCACGGCUAAAUUCGUGCCAGCAGCCGCCGUAAUAC
rnacentral:rRNA from 1 species